AUUGAACGCUGGCGGCAUGCCUUACACAUGCAAGUCGAACGGCAGCAUAGGAGCUUGCUCCUGAUGGCGAGUGGCGAACGGGAGAGUAAUAUAUCGGAACGUGCCCUAGAGUGGGGGAUAACUAGUCGAAAGACUAGCUAAUACCGCAUACGAUCUACGGAUGAAAGUGGGGGAUCGCAAGACCUCAUGCUCCUGGAGCGGCCGAUAUCUGAUUAGCUAGUUGGUGGGGUAAAAGCCUACCAAGGCGACGAUCAGUAGCUGGUCUGAGAGGACGACCAGCCACACUGGGACUGAGACACGGCCCAGACUCCUACGGGAGGCAGCAGUGGGGAAUUUUGGACAAUGGGGGCAACCCUGAUCCAGCAAUGCCGCGUGAGUGAAGAAGGCCUUCGGGUUGUAAAGCUCUUUUGUCAGGGAAGAAACGGUAGUAGCUAAUAUCUAUUACUAAUGACGGUACCUGAAGAAUAAGCACCGGCUAACUACGUGCCAGCCGCCGCAGUAA
rnacentral:rRNA from 1 species